CACACGUACAGCACCCACACAAAUAUAGCACACAAACAGCACACACACAGCACACUAACAGUACCCUCACAAACACAAACAGCACACUAACAGGACCCUAACAAACACACACACAGCACACUACCAGUACACUCCAACACAAACAGCACCCUCACAAGCGCACACACACACAAACAGCACCCUCACACACAGUACAUUAACAGCACCCUCACAAGCCCACACACACAAACACCCUCACCCACAU